rnacentral:rRNA from 1 species
UGCCCAGACUCCUACGGGAGGCAGCAGUGGGGGAUAUUGCACAAUGGGGGAAGCCCUGAUGCAGCGACGCCGCGUGUGGGAAGACGGUCCUCUGGAUUGUAAACCCCUGUCCCCAGGGACGAAGAUGACGGUACCUGGGGAGGAAGCUCCGGCUAACUACGUGCCAGCAGCCGCGGUAAUACGUAGGGGGCAAGCGUUAUCCGGAUUUACUGGGUGUAAAGGGGGCGCAGACGGCGAUGCAAGCCAGGAGUGAAAGCCUGGGGCCCAACCCCGGGACUGCCCUUGGAGCUGCAUGGCUGGAGUGCGGGAGGGGCAGGCGGAAUUCCUGGUGUAGCGGUGAAAUGCGUAGAUAUCAGGAGGAACACCGGCGGCGAAGGCGGCCUGCUGGACCGCGACUGACGUUGAGGCUCGAAAGCGUGGGGAGCGAACAGGAUUAGAUACCCCGGUAC